rnacentral:lncRNA from 1 species
CUGGAUUCAGGAACAGACAACUGGUAAAACGUUACUUCUGGCUGUAUCAGUGGGGGCUUCCAGAGAAGACUGGUGUGUGACUCAGUGGACUGAGUGAGGAAGAUUCACCUUCAAUGUAGAUUUUGAACAUCUAUCAAUCAGCAAAUUAAUUGUAAGAGGAUUCAUGGAAGAUAUUAUUUGACUGGCUCUUCUACCAAUAUUUGGAAGUCAUAUGCAUUCUCUAUUUUUCAGGACCUGCAAAACCAAAAAAAAUCGGCUAUGUUUAUCAGUAAUUUAAUCACCAGGAAGUUGAAUAACACUCUUCGAUAUGACACUUAAAAAAUUAUGAAUUUAAUUAUUGCAUAGGUAAAUGAUAGAUGUGGCAAAAAUACUGUCCCAAUGUAUAUGUUGCUAAAAACUAUUAAUUCUUUUUCAUUUUUAACUCAUAACUAGCUAGACCAAUUAUUUAGUGUACUAAAUGGUUAUAUUUUCUUAUGUUAAAUUUCUUUCUUGAAAUGACUUUAAUUCUACCUUUUAAGUAAAUCUCUAGGCAAACAGAUCCCUUGCACAAGUCUGCUGUCAAAAUCUGUUCCUAGCAAUGUCACCUAUAACUGGUUAAAGAUACAGAAUAGAAAUGGCUAUAUUAAGGGGACUUUCAAAAUGAAUUAUUGAUAACAUACCUUUUAAAUUUUAUG